UACGAAGGGGGCUAGCGUUGUUCGGCCUUACUGGGCGUAAAGGGCGCGUAGGCGGUCUUGUAAGUCAGAUGUGAAAGCCCCGGGCUCAACCCGGGAAUAGCAUUUGAUACUGCGAGGCUUGAGUCCGGGAGAGGAUGGCGGAAUUCCCAGUGUAGAGGUGAAAUUCGUAGAUAUUGGGAAGAACACCGGUGGCGAAGGCGGCCAUCUGGACCGGUACUGACGCUGAGGAGCGAAAGCGUGGGGAGCAAACAGG
rnacentral:rRNA from 1 species